AUACGAGUAUUUGCACAUACAACAAUCUAUACUUGAGGGUGUGACGUUGAUUUCGCGGUUCAGCGCUAUGGAAAACGCUCGUUCGUCGGUUGAUGUGGCCGGCGGGCGGGCUUCGAAGUGCUCCACAUUCGACAUGGAGUGGCGACGUGGUGACUGGCGCAUUCCACUCACAGAGAUAUCGGUUAAAACUAAAAUAGAACAUGAGUUAUGCAAUUAGCGCUCAUAUCACAGUGAAGUCAAAUCAACACAAAAUCCACUUUAAAGCCACUGCGCUGAGCUUGCAAUCAUCAAUCACAUCACCAAAUCCACGCUACGACCGAACUUACUGCCGAAACACAAACAAAAAAAUGGGGAAAAAACGCUGUGGAAUUGAAAGCAAAACCAAAGGCAACAACAAUACGAUCGCGCUGUGACGUCAAUACAAACCAUGGAAAAUUAACAACUAAAUCGUCGAUGGUGCGAAGCAAGCCUGGCGGCAACAAACCGCAUGAAGCAUGACGAGCGAUAAAUUUUCGAAAACCGCUGAAACAACAACAAGAACGCGCUGCAAACAGUGCUAUGCUCAUGAGCCUAAACAAAGGGGGCAAUGAAUAUGAAUAUGAAAUAAAAUUAUUAAAAACAAAAAAA